rnacentral:lncRNA from 10 species
AGCCAUGUCCACCUUGUUCCCCUCACUCCUGCCUCAGAAGUGACUGAUACAUUGUGAUUUAAAUCUAUAUUGAACCUGUGUAGAGGAGACAGAGCUGCAGCAGCAGGAACAGCAGCAUGAGACCUGUAGCUUCACAGAGAAAGACAACAACCUGUUGCCUGAGCCAGGCUCAAAGCACCAUGAGAAUGAGGGGGAGGACUAUGAAGAUGAGGAGGAUAGUAAAGAAUGGAGGAUGAGCACAUGCAGGACAUGGAUGACAUGAAUGAUUUCAAUGAGUAACCUGGUGAUGGAGAGGUCAAUGAUGUGGAUGUGGGAGGCAACAAACAGGAUCAGGACAAGUGGAC